UCUUGGCCCUUUAUGUUCUAUUCAUAUAAAUUAUGCAAUUCAUGUAUCAACAAAAAUAACUUAAUUUUCGAACUACAAAUAUCAAAAACUCUUUUUUUUUUGAUGGGGGGAUGGAGAAGAUAUGUAAGCAUAGAUAAUAUACAUGGGUAUAACUACCUAUAAAUAAACUAGCUGUCCUGUACGAUUUUCUCUGUGUACAGUAAAGAACGAAAAAUCGUUAAAUAAAUUGAUAACGUGUUUUCCUGUGUUUCUCCGUGACUACAGUUUCUACAAUUUCGAAGGUUUUGCUCAAUAACUUAUUUUUUU